GCCUGAGUUUCGUCUCGAUAUUCUUGCUCAAAUUUUCGAUUGAUUCCAUGAUUUGUGAGCUGAUUUCUGCCCACCCGAGGGACGCCACUUAUGUUGGAAACGGGUCUUCACAACACAAUCACAAAAUUAAUAAAAUAUAUAAUAAAACAAAAUAAAUUUACAAGUAUAAUCUGAUAUGUAGUUCACGCUUCGCUAAGGUUUUCG